rnacentral:miRNA from 1 species
CUCCUGUGCUUUAAUAAUUAUCAGGCUGGUGCGAAAGUAAUUGCGGAUUUUGCCAUUAAUGGCAAAUGGCAAAACCUGCAAUUACUUUUGCACCAGUGUAAUAGCU